rnacentral:piRNA from 1 species
UGAACAUUUGGUUUUUCUUUC